rnacentral:rRNA from 1 species
AUUGAACGCUGGCGGCAGGCCUAACACAUGCAAGUCGAACGGUAACAGGCAGAAGCUUUCUUCUUUGCUGACGAGUGGCGGACGGGUGAGUAAUGUCUGGCAAACCCCCUGAUUGAGGAGAACAUCUCCUGAAAACGGCAGCUAACCCCUCUUAACUCCGCAAGCCCAAAACGGGGUUCCUUCUUCCCUCUUGCCGUCGUCUGUUCCCAGGUGGGAUUAGCUUGUUGGGGGGGUCACGGAUCACCUAGUCGACGAUCCCUAGGUCGUCGGCGAGAAUGAACAGCGACACGGGAACUUGGACACGGUCCAGACGCCUACGGGAGGCAGCAGUGUGGAAUAUUGCACAAUGGGCGCAAACCUGAUGCAGCCACGGCGCGUGUAUGAAGAAGGCCUUGGGGUUGUAAAGUACUUUCAGCGGGGAGGAAGUGAGUUAAGUUAAUACCUUGGCUCAUUGACGGUACCCGCAGAAGAAGCAACGGCUAACUACGUG